CCAGGAGAGAGCCCCUCACCUGCGUGAAGCACUCCUGAGGUGGAUGGUUGGUAAAUAGGCUCGGCGGUGGUGGGGAAACCUAGCAUUUUUCAUCACGAACAGCCGCUGGAAAUGGCGUUACAUCGGAAUCAAGCUUGUGCAGAGGCAUUUUAUCAACUCUGAUGGCCUUUAUGCUCAUUUUUUCCCUGCAGCCUCACGCCUCGGGCAGUUCGCUGGGACUGGAGAGCGAAGAGGAGCCGCUUUUGGAGGUGGCUGACGGCAGCCCCGCGACGCUGGAGCUGCGCGCAGAGCCCCGCGGCGCGCUCCCUGCCUACAGGUUUUCUGAAGACAGACUGGGAGAAACUGUUGGCUGCUUUGGGAGAAGCCGGGUGGAGCUGGGAGCAAGCGACGCAGGAGCCCUUGGAUAAGGAUGAGGCCACACCAGCUCCUGCCUGGUCCUGCAGGGCUCAGUGCCGCGUUCCCAAAUGCCUCUGAAGACCAGCGCGCUCCUCCCGAAGGCUGGGACAGCCUCAGAGAGAGGAAAGAGCGGCUUCCUCCGCUCUGCCCGCAGGAAGAGCGUGUCUGCGAGGCGGGGAAGCGGGGUGCCGCGAGCCGGGGUGCGUGGGGUCCCUGCUCAGCCUCCCCUCCCCGUCCUCGUGCCAAGCCCCGUUGUGUCACCUUGCUUUCAGCAGCUGCGACAGGGGGAUGGGAAACUCCUAAAUAUUGCUGGAAAAAUGUGUGGAGGCAUUUUUUUUUGUCUCGCACCGUACGGGCCAGGAGUUUUAGCGGGUUGUUUGCUCGGUUGUUUUUUUUUCUCCUCCUUGCUCGGCUUUUUCUGCAGCCACCUCGCUCUGCAGUGUGUGGGCAGGCGCGGGUUUCUAGCUUUUAGGAAGGCUCCCAGAGCUUAAUGGGGAUGCUGGGGUGUCU
rnacentral:lncRNA from 1 species